rnacentral:rRNA from 1 species
UACGUAGGGUGCGAGCGUUGUCCGGAUUUAUUGGGCGUAAAGGGCUCGUAGGCGGCGUGUCGCGUCGGGAGUGAAAGCCCGUUGCUUAACGGCGGGUUGGCUUUCGGUACGGGCAUGCUGGAGUGCGGCAGGGGAGACUGGAAUUCCUGGUGUAGCGGUGGAAUGCGCAGAUAUCAGGAGGAACACCUGAGGUGAAGACGGGUUGCUGGGCUGACACUGACGCUGAGGCGCGAAAGCCAGGGGAGCAAACGGG